UGGGGAAUUUUGGACAAUGGGCGCAAGCCUGAUCCAGCCAUGCCGCGUGUCUGAAGAAGGCCUUCGGGUUGUAAAGGACUUUUGUCAGGGAAGAAAAGGGCGGGGUUAAUACCCCUGUCUGAUGACGGUACCUGAAGAAUAAGCACCGGCUAACUACGUGCCAGCAGCCGCGGUAAUACGUAGGGUGCGAGCGUUAAUCGGAAUUACUGGGCGUAAAGCGGGCGCAGACGGUUACUUAAGCAGGAUGUGAAAUCCCCGGGCUCAACCUGGGAACUGCGUUCUGAACUGGGUGACUAGAGUGUGUCAGAGGGAGGUAGAAUUCCACGUGUAGCAGUGAAAUGCGUAGAGAUGUGGAGGAAUACCGAUGGCGAAGGCAGCCUCCUGGGAUAACACUGACGUUCAUGCCCGAAAGCGUGGGGAGCAAACA
rnacentral:rRNA from 1 species